GAUCAUGGCUCAGAUUGAACGCUGGCGGCAUGCCUAACACAUGCAAGUCGAGCGGAAACGAUGGAAGCUUGCUUCUAGGCGUCGAGCGGCGGACGGGUGAGUAAUGCGCAGGAAUUUGCCCAGCAGUGGGGGAUAGCCCGGAGAAAUCCGGAUUAAUACCGCAUAUACCCUACGGGGGAAAGAGGGCCUCUCCUUGGAAGCUCUUGCUGUUGGAUGAGCCUGCGUCGGAUUAGCUAGUUGGUGAGGUAAAGGCUCACCAAGGCAACGAUCCGUAGCUGGUCUGAGAGGACGACCAGCCACACUGGAACUGAGACACGGUCCAGACUCCUACGGGAGGCAGCAGUGGGGAAUCUUGGACAAUGGGCGCAAGCCUGAUCCAGCCAUGCCGCGUGUGUGAAGAAGGCCUUAGGGUUGUAAAGCACUUUCAGUGGUGAAGAAAUGCUCAGGGUUAAUAACCCUCGAGUCUUGACGUUAACCACAGAAGAAGCACCGGCUAACUCCGUGCCAGCAGCCGCGGUAAUACGGAGGGUGCGAACGUUAAUCGGAAUUACUGGGCGUAAAGCGCACGUAGGCGGUUUGUUAAGUGGGAUGUGAAAGCCCCGGGCUCAACCUGGGAAUUGCAUUCCAAACUGGCAGGCUAGAGUACAGUAGAGGAAAGCGGAAUUCAGGGUGUAGCGGUGAAAUGCUUAGAUAUCCUGAGGAACACCAAUGGCGAAGGCAGCUUUCUGGCACAUGACUGACGCUGAGGUACGAAAGCGUGGGGAGCAAACAGGAUUAGAUACCCUGGUAGUCCACGCCGUAAACGAUGAGUGCUAGGUGCAGGGGGUGGAACCCCUUCUGUGCCGUAGCUAACGCAUUAAGUUGACCGCCUGGGGAGUACGCGCGCAAGCGUGAAACUCAAAGGAAUUGACGGGGGCCCGCACAAGCGGUGGAGCAUGUGGUUUAAUUCGAUGCAACGCGAAGAACCUUACCUACCCUUGACAUACAGAGAACUUUCCAGAGAUGGAUUGGUGCCUUCGUGAGCUCUGAUACAGGUGCUGCAUGGCUGUCGUCAGCUCGUGUCGUGAGAUGUUGGGUUAAGUCCCGCAACGAGCGCAACCCUUACCCGUAGUUGCCAGCGGAUCAUGCCGGGGACUCUACGGGGACUGCCGGUGAUAAGCCGGAGGAAGGUGAGGAUGACGUCAAGUCAUCAUGGCCCUUAUGUCCAGGGCGACACACGUGCUACAAUGGCCGGUACAAUGGGCUGCAAUCCCGCGAGGGGGAGCCAAUCCCUAAAAGCCGGUCUAAGUUCGGAUCGGAGUCUGCAACUCGACUCCGUGAAGCCGGAAUCGCUAGUAAUCGCGGAUCAGCCACGCCGCGGUGAAUACGUUCCCGGGCUUUGUACACACCGCCCGUCACGCCAUGGAAGCCGGGGGGACCCGAAGUCAGUGGCCCAACCUUCGGGAGGGAGCUGCCUAAGGUCAAUCCGGUGACUGGGGCGAAGUCGUAACAAGGUAGCCGU
rnacentral:rRNA from 1 species